GUCUCAUCUAGAGCAGGGAAAACACAGAGGCCCUCUGGGACAGUUCCAAAGCUGUAGCUUUGGGGAUCCCCCUUGAAACCCAAUGGGAGAACAAGACCUGAUGGAGUGUUAAUGAGGUGAGCUCUUCCAUCUUAUACUCAAUCUACAUAUAUGUAACUAAAACCAUGGGGCAGUAUCUCAGGUGGGGGACAGGUCAUGUUCCUUCUGGGGCUCUUCCUGCCUACGUGUAGACCCUUAUGUUUGUCCCUACUAAAAUUCACCUUGUUAUUUUGGGCCCAGGUCUCCAAUCUAUUAAGGUCAUCUUGAAUCCUCAUUCUGUCUUCUGCGGCAUUGACUACCGAUCCCAGUUUGGUGUCAUCUGCUGAUCUGAUAAGCACCCCCUCAAUAAAAGCUGCCGUUAAUAAAUUUGUUGCUAUUUCCUUCCCUUCA